rnacentral:tRNA from 1 species
GGGCCCGUGGUCUAGCGGUAGGAUGCUGCCCUCACGCGGCAGAGGGCUGGGUUCAACUCCCAGCGGGCCCA